rnacentral:tRNA from 1 species
AGUAUCGUAGCUCAAUGGCUAGAGUGCUCGGUUGUCUCCCGAGAAGUUGCGAGUUCGAAUCUCGUCGGUACUG